AGAGUUUGAUCCUGGCUCAGGAUGAAUGCUAGCGGCAGGCUUAACACAUGCAAGUCGAGGGGCAGCGGGGAGGAAGCUUGCUUUCUCCGCCGGCGACCGGCGCACGGGGUGAGUAACACGUAUGCAACCUGCCCCUGUCAGGGGGACAACCCGCCGAAAGGCGGGCUAAACCCGCGUACAUGCCACCGGGGCAUCCCGGAGGCAGGAAAGGCUUCGGCCGGACAGGGAUGGGCAUGCGGCGCAUUAGGCAGUAGGCGGGGUAACGGCCCACCUAACCGACGAUGCGUAGGGGUUCUGAGAGGAAGGUCCCCCACACUGGUACUGAGACACGGACCAGACUCCUACGGGAGGCAGCAGUGAGGAAUAUUGGUCAAUGGUCGGGAGACUGAACCAGCCAAGCCGCGUGAGGGAGGAAGGUACAGAGUAUCGUAAACCUCUUUUGUCAGGGAACAAAGGCGGGGACGUGUCCCCGGAUGAGUGUACCUGAAGAAAAAGCAUCGGCUAACUCCGUGCCAGCAGCCGCGGUAAUACGGAGGAUGCGAGCGUUAUCCGGAUUUAUUGGGUUUAAAGGGUGCGCAGGCGGUCUGUUAAGUCAGCGGUCAAAGCCCGGGGCUCAACCCCGGCCCGCCGUUGAAACUGGCAGUCUCGAGUUGGAGAGAAGUAUGCGGAAUGCGCGGUGUAGCGGUGAAAUGCAUAGAUAUCGCGCAGAACUCCGAUUGCGAAGGCAGCAUGCCGGCUCCACACUGACGCUGAGGCACGAAAGCGUGGGUAUCGAACAGGAUUAGAUACCCUGGUAGUCCACGCAGUAAACGAUGAAUGCUGGCUGUCCGGGGGGAUUGACCCCUGGGUGGCGAAGCGAAAGCGAUAAGCAUUCCACCUGGGGAGUAUGCCGGCAACGGUGAAACUCAAAGGAAUUGACGGGGGCCCGCACAAGCGGAGGAACAUGUGGUUUAAUUCGAUGAUACGCGAGGAACCUUACCCGGGCUCAAACGGGGAGUGACUCAGGCAGAGACGCCUGUUUCCCACGGGACACUCCCCGAGGUGCUGCAUGGUUGUCGUCAGCUCGUGCCGUGAGGUGUCGGCUUAAGUGCCAUAACGAGCGCAACCCCCGCGUGCAGUUGCUAACAGAUAACGCUGAGGACUCUGCACGGACUGCCGGCGCAAGCCGCGAGGAAGGCGGGGAUGACGUCAAAUCAGCACGGCCCUUACGUCCGGGGCGACACACGUGUUACAAUGGGUGGUACAGCGGGAAGCCGGGCGGCGACGCCGAGCGGAACCCGAAAUCCACUCUCAGUUCGGAUCGGAGUCUGCAACCCGACUCCGUGAAGCUGGAUUCGCUAGUAAUCGCGCAUCAGCCAUGGCGCGGUGAAUACGUUCCCGGGCCUUGUACACACCGCCCGUCAAG
rnacentral:rRNA from 1 species